rnacentral:rRNA from 1 species
GACGUAGGGGGCGAGCGUUGUCCGGAAUUAUUGGGCGUAAAGAGCUCGUAGGCGGUUUGUUGCGUCUAUCGUGAAAACCUGCAGCUUAACUGUGGGCUUGCGGUGGAUACGGGCAGACUUGAGUUCGGUAGGGGAGACUGGAAUUCCUGGUGUAGCGGUGAAAUGCGCAGAUAUCAGGAGGAACACCGGUGGCGAAGGCGGGUCUCUGGGCCGAAACUGACGCUGAGGAGCGAAAGCGUGGGGAGCAAACAGG